rnacentral:tRNA from 1 species
GGUCCGUGGCUCUGAGGUAGAGCGCUCGCCUAGCACAUGAGAGGUCCUGGGUUCUAUACUCAGCACCA